UGAGCUCUCCGGCCGCCGGCCCCCGCCCCUUCGGGCUCUGGCGAGGUGGUCGGAAACCCCUGGUCGGCGACGGGCCGGUGGUUACCGAGGAGUUCCCUCGCCCAGCCGCGACGGAAGCAGCCCUCAGGGCGGCGGGUGGCGCGCCCCUGCUCCGUCCCUCCCGCUCCCUGGAGCCGGAACCCACCCUGGGCAGCUGCCCCUUGCCGGACGCCGAGCGCGCGCCCGGCCUUGGGCUGGCAGGAGCCGCCCGCAGCUCGCCCGUUUGCGAUUCAGAAUUCCUUCCACGCUCAAGUUUGUUGAAGGAAAAUGCUGUUGGAAAUUUCAGCGUGUGAAUAAAAGGCAUAGGGUGUGGUAAAUGACAGUUACAAACUGAGUCGUGUAUUUUGCUGCAAUGGCAACAGUGGCACAUUGGGAGGAAAUAAGCCAGACUCAUCCUCCUCUACUCCACUACCAAAUGUUGAGGUUCUUCAAGAAUCAGUCCCUUGGAAAUGACAUCAGCAAAAAUGUCAAGUAGGGAACUCCCAAGGACCUGUCCCUCCACAUAAACAGCAAAUAAAUCUUCACAAUUAUCAGAAUCAAGUUUCUGUUUUCUCUGGAAACUAGUCAAAGGUUUAGUAACCAUGCAAGCAUUUAAGCAAGAAAAAGGUGGUUGAAUCUCACUAGGAGAGCUUUGUGUCAUUUAAACUUAUCCUGGGCCCAUUUCCUCAUCCCUAGUUCGUGACAGUUUUGAAGACAACAACCUGUAUUUCUAGUAUAAAUUACUGGUGCUAGAGGGAGCAGAAUGGAUCUUCUCAAAGAAUUAUGGUGGUUUAUUUGGACCUGUCUGGUAGCUCCCUGAAAGACUGGCACAAAGGGCUUUCCCUUAUUUUGCCAACUCAGAACUCUCCCAUAUCAGAGGUGACUGCUCAGGGGACAUUUGUCAAAAACAUACAAAGGUGGUUUAUCUGCUGCCACCUGGCGAAAGGACUAAUAAUUGGGGCAAACAAUAGACACACCAAAAAGCCUGGGAGGGAAGGCUGAGUGAUAUGCUUUGGAGCAUAAAUUGUUUGAAUAAGGCCCCCACAUAUUCCUGGGAAUCUAAAAAGCUACAUGCACAUCCAUGGGUGGGCCAAAUGCUCAGAAAAAGACCCUAAAAUCUCACCUUUGGUUAACUCAGGGUCUGCACAAAUAGGAAAUGAAGCCUAAAAUGGAUUUGUAAAUUGCCACCAGACUGUUAAAACCAUGACCCAACACAAACACAGAGCCCACUAGAAAAAAACUGGAAGUUUUUUUUUCAUUUUUUUGUUCUAGACAUUUAAGAAAAUAUCUCUUGAAUCACUAACUGACCAUUAAGCAAACAGAACAGAGACUAUAGUGGCCACACACAAGGGAUACAAACUGUACAAACUUAGUUCAGAAAAGUCAUUGAAAUAAACAGCAACCACAACCCUCAACAACAAAAAACUAGAAUGGAAAGAGAAUCUUAUUCCCAGACUUACAACAUUAUAGUAAUCAAUAUGUCUAGUCUUCAACAAAAUACUACAUGGCAGGCAAAAAAGAUACUAUUGCCCAUAUACAGGGAAAAAAAACUUCCCUGGAAGGACAAAUGUUGGACUUACUACACAAAGACUUUCCAUUGAGUAUAGUGGAAGAACUAAAGCAGAUCAGGAGAGCCUUAUCUCACCAGAGAAUAUUAAUAUGGAGAUUGAAUGUGUAAAAAGAACCAAAUCGAAAUUCUGGAGUUAAAAAGUACAAAACAGACAAAAUUCACUAGAGGGAUUCAACAGCAGAUGUGAGCAGUCAAAAGAAAGAAUCAGCAGACUUCAAGAUACAUCAAGUAAGAUAACUCAGUCUGAGGAGUAGAAAGGAAAAAGAAUGAAAAAUGAACAGCACCUAAGAGCCUAUGGAACAAUAUUGAGAAUACCAAUAUGUGCUUAAUGGGGGUCCCAGAAAGAAAGUAGAGAGAAUGGAACAGAAAGAAUAUUUGAAGAAAUAAUGGUCAAGAACUUUGACCAUUACUGAUGAGAGAGAUGAGUCUAGAUGCCCAAGAAGCUCAAAGAAAGGUAAAGAUGAAGAGACACACCAAGACAGGUUGUAAUCUAAAUGGUCAAAAUUCAAUGGCAAAGAAUCCUGAAAGCAGUAAGAGAGAAGCAAGUAUUCACACACAAGGGAACCUCAAUAAGAUUAACAGCUGAUUUCUCACCAGAAACUAUGGAAGCUAGGGGGCAGUGCAGUGAUAUAUUCAAAGUACUGAAAGAAAAAUGUCAGCUAAAUUCUAUAUCCAGCAAAACUAUGAAGGAAAAAUUAAGACAUUCUCAAGAUAACAACUGAAGAGAGUUUGUCACUAGUAGACCCAUCCUGCAAGAAAUACUAAAGGAAUUCCUUAAGCCUGAAAUGAAAGGACAGUAACUUGAAUCCACACAGAGAAAUAAAAAAUUAGCUAUGUAAGUAAAUAUAAAAGUUUGUGUUAAUGCAUUUUUGUUGGUAACUUUUUUUUUCCUGCAUGAUUUAAAACAACUACAAGAACAGUAAAAGACUCAUAUGUCCUGAUUUCAAAGCUACUUAUAGAGCUACAGUGAUCAAAACAGUGUGGAACUGGCAGAAGUUUUGAUAAGUAAAUGUAAUAGAAUUAAGAGCACAGAAAUAAACCCAUAUUUAUGUGGUCAAUUGAUUUUUGACAAAGAUGUCCAGACAGCUCAGUGGGGAAAAAAUAGCAUUUUCAGUAAACGCUGAGAAAACCAGAUAUCUACAUGGCAAAGGAAUGAAUUUUGACUAUUACCUCACUCCAUAUAACAUUUAACUCAAGAUGAAUCAGACUUAAAUGUAACAACAAAACUAUACAAAUCUGAAAAAAAUUAUUGGGGUAGGACUACAUGACGGGGUUUAGCAAUAGAUUCUUAGAUGAGACAUCACAAAUAACAAAAUGAAAACAGGUAAAUUCUGGACUUAAUUUAAAACCUUUGUACAUCAAAUAAUAUUAUCAAGGAAAAAGGGCCCACUGAAUCUGAAAAAAAUACUUGCAAAUCAUUAUCUGUUAAGGUUCUCUUGUCUAGAAUAAAUAAAUCUUAUAAGUCAUCAAUAAAAAAAAAUUUUUUAAUAGAUAAUGACUUAGACAUUUUUCAAGGAAGAUAUUCCAAUGGCUAGCAAACACUAAAAGAUCCUCAACAUCUUAAGUCAUUAAGGAUAUGCAAAUCAAAACUACAUGAGAUAAUCCUCAUGUAAUUGGAGAUUAAUGAUACCAAAAUAAAAAUUUUAAUUAAAAAAAAUUUAAAAACUACAUGAGAUAGCACUUCAUACCCACUAGGAUGACUAUAAUUCAAAAACAAGUGUUGGUAAGGAUGUGGAAAAAUUAGAACCCUCAUAAAUUGCUAGUGGGAAUGUAAAAUAGUGCAGCCAUUGUGGAAAACAGUUUGAGGAUUCUUCAAGAACUUAUUUUGAACUACCGUAUGAACCAGCAGUGCUACUCCUAAAUACAUAUUUAAGAACUGAAAAUGGGUAUUCAAACAAAGUUUCAAGUGAAUGUUUACAGCUAAACAAUAACCAAAAAGUAGAAAGAAAUGUCCAUCAAUAGAUGGAUAAACAAAUUGUGGUAUACCUAUACAUUAUUCAACUGUAAAUAGGAAUAAAAUGGUGAUGCAUGAUACAACAUGGAUCAACCUUGAAGAACAUGCUAAGCAAAAAAAUCCAGACAGAAAAAGUCACUUACGUGAUUCCAUUUAUGUGAAAUGUCAAAUAGGCAAAUCCAUAAAGAUAGAAAACAGGUUAGUAGUUGCCAGAGGCUAGGCAGAGGUAGGAUUGAGGAGUUACUGCUUAAUGGAUAUGGGGUUUGUUGAGUGGUACAAAUACUCAAACUUAGAAGUGAUGAUGGUUGCAAGCACCAUGAAUGCAUUGGAAGCCACUGAAUUGUAUACUAAAAUGGUGAAUUUUAUGUCAUCUAAAUUCUACCUGAAUUACAGGAGUCAUUCUUAACUAUUUUCUUUCCAGGCACUCUAAUCCACUCCGGUGUCUUCUGUGUAUAUUACUAUCCAGCCCAGGUCUUUUUUCUGAGUUACAUGCCUGAAUAUCCAACUCCUUACUUAUCUAACACCUCCACAGGUACGCUUCAGAUGCAUCUUUGCAACAUACAAAAUUGAGCCCAUUACCUUGCCCUUCAAUUUAGGUGACCUCUGAAUGUUUCCUAUCAGUAAAUACUAAAAGCUCACAUUCAUUGAGAGUUUACUAUGCUAGGGGUAAAAUAAGUGUUUUACUUUCAUUAGUUUGUUUAAUCCUCACAAGAACCUCAUAUAUUAUUUGCUUUUUGCAGUGAGAAAAUUGAGAGGUAAAAUAACUGGAUAAUCACACACCUUGUAAGUAAGGCUAACUUUGAACAAAAGGAUCCUGACUUCUCAAAGACUUUGUUCUAAAUGAUAUUGCUAAUGAUUUUUUUUUUUAGAAACUAGACAUCAUUGUCCCUUUCCUCCUGUUCAUGCCUAAAUUAUAUCUUGCCUUGACUUCUCUCCUGAAAUCCAGUUUCCCAUAUAUAAUAGCCUACUCAACAUCUCCAUUUGAAUGUCAAGUGGACAUCUGAAACUUACCGUCCAAACCAAAUUCCUUAUCUUCAACAACCUGUUGUUCAGUUGUCAUUCUCAUUUCACUUAUGCCAGCUCCAUCCUUCACAUUGCUGAGGCUAAAAACUUAAGAAUUGUUAACAUCAUUCUAUGUUGACAGAUAGUAACUGCAGUAGAAAGGGUGAGGAUUUAACAAAAUGGGUAACUAUUGAACCACUGUGUUGUAUAUUUAAAACCAAUAUAAAAUUGUAUAUCAACGAUAUUUCAGUCAUUUAAAAAAAAAACUUUGGAGUGUCCUUGACUUUCCUCUUUAACACACACAUCCAUUCUCAAGAAAUUGUGAGCUCAACUUUUGAAAUAGAAUCAGAAUCUGGCCACUUCUCAUUUCCUUCACUGCCACCAUCCUGACUCAAGCCACUCAGUCCCUCAUCUGGACUAUAGCUCAGUUGCCUACUUGAUCUCUCUGGUUCUACCUUGCUUCCUAUAGUCUGUGCUCAACAGGGCAGGUAGUAAUGCUUUUUUAAAAUUAUUUCUUAAUUGAAGAAUAGUUGACAUACAAUAUCAUGUUAGUAUCUGUCAUACAAUUGUGAUUCAACAAUUAUACAUACAAAAUGCUCACUAUAGUAAGUGUAGUUACUGUCUGCCACCAUACAAAGCUAUUACAAUAUUACUAUAUUCCCUAUGAUGUACUUUUCAUUGCUGUGACUUAUUUAAUUUACAACUGGAAGUUUGUACCUCUUUAUCCUUCACUUAUUUCACCUAACAUCUAGUGAUGGUUUUAAAAAUAAAUCAUACUGUGUCACUCAUCUGCUCAGAACUUUUCAGUAGCCCCCUAUUUCACUUAAAGUGAAAUCAGAAGUUGUAACAAUGACCUACAAAAGCUGUGUUUGAACUGGGUCCUCUAUAUCAUCUCCAAUUCUCCACCCUUCCUUGCUCCAAUUGCCUCCUUGUUCUUCAAAUACUCUGGACAGGCUACUACUUGAGGGCUCUUGCACGAGCUAUUUACUCGGCAUUCUGCUAUAUAUCCACUUGGCUAACUCCUUCACCUCCUUUAAAUCCUUGCUCAAAUGUCACCUUUUCAUUGGGGUGUAAUUUGAUCACCCCACAUUAAAAAUUGCAUCCCUUCUACCUCCAUCCAUGAUUCCCCUUUCUAUGCUCUGUUGUUUUACCUGUGACACUUGUCAUCUUCUAGCAUGCUUUACAAUUUACUUACUAAAUUAUAAACUACAUUUACUGUUUAUUGGCUAUCUCCUGCCCACUGAGGUAAGCUCCAUAACAAUAGGAAUUGUCUCUUUUGCUUACUGAUAUAUCCCAGCUAUUUGGCUCAUAGUUGAUUCUCAGUAAAUAUUUGAUGCGUGAAUGAACAAGCAAAGAAUGUAAAAAACUUAUUAAUUUUAACACUACAUAAUUGUUAGGUCAUAGCAGAAGUCAAAGUUGAAAUUAUAAAUUGUAUACAAAUUUAAAAACUAGAACACUUCAUAUGAAAACACAUGGAAUAUGAAUAAAAUCUAAAUCCAAAGGGAAAAAAUCAUAACUUUAAAGAAACAUAAUGCCAAAAGUAAUUACUGGGAUCAAAUAUCUGACAUAAUGUCCUCUGUACCAUCCCCUCCUGCAUCCAUCUCUGUAAGGCUACUAGACGUUCUCUCCCAAAGUUACUGCGUUAGAACGGUAGUUCUCGAAGUGUAGUCAAUGGACCAACAACAUCAGCAUUACCUGGGAAAUUGUUAGAAUGUAAAUUCUGAUUUAAUAAGACCUGUGAGUGAUUCUGAUGCACAUGAUUGAGAUUCAAUACGUUAGAAUUGGGGAGCCUAUUUCUCACUGCUUUUCUCCUAUGACCCAAAAGAGGAGUUGAGUCUACAUACUCAAACACUUUAUUUUGCUUAGGGAGAGAAAUUUAAUGAAAAGUAUAACAGAUAAAUAGUUCAGCCAUGUUAGUACAAAAUUUAAUUUUUGAUGCAUUCUGUCCACCAUGUAAAUUUUAAGUAAUCUGUUUUUCAUGAUGAGGCAAGACAAAAAUAUUGUGCAGAAGAAAAUUCACAGUCAUAGAUUUAUAUCUGCCUUAUGGUUUUUAUCCUGAUGUUGAUAAUCACAGACAGAUCUUUACAGAAUAUCUUACAGUAUUUCUAUAAAGAAGUAUCAAGACCUGUAUUGGGAGCAUUAUAAAAUGUACUGAAGGACAUAAAGCAAUUUGACUAAAUUAAUAGCCAUUUAAUUUCCUGGAUGGGAUUACUUAAUAUUGUAAAGGAGGACAGUGCUUCCAAAUUAAUAAAUAAAAGUAAUGCAGUUCCAAUCACAGGCACAACUUUGGGGAAGUGAGGGUUGUAUUUGACAAGUUCAUUCUAAAUUUUAUCUUGUGAAAUGAAUUAAUGAAAAGUUCAGAAUUAUGAGAAAAGAGAAUGAGGGAGAGCUUUUCAUACCACACACUAAAAUUUACUAUGAAGCUAAAGUGUUUUUAAAUGUAUGUUGUGGAUAUUGGAAGAAACAUACUGUAUGGAAAAAACAUAUUCCAAACAAUGUAUGGGAAUACUGCAGUUCAAAACUAGAUCGAUGUGGUUAUAACAAAGCAGUGUAUUAUAAAGGACAUAUUCUAAUGAAAUUGAUGAGAUAUUCAAGAAAUGAUGUUGAAGCAAUUAGCUACCCAUUCUUAAGAAAAGAAAAUUAGAUCCCCUCUUUACAUCAUACUCCAAAAUAAAUUCUUAGUUAUUAAUGUCACUAAAUAUUAAGAAUUAAAGUAUAAAGUAGACUAGUUUUGAUCUAGGAGUGACAGGAUAUGAAACCAAGACACCGUGGAGGAAGACUUGGACACAUACAAAUUAAAACCUUCAUGAAAAAAUGCACCACAAAUUAAAGAUAAAUUAUGGAUUUGGAGAAAAUUAAAUUGUAAGGCAUAAAAUAAUCAAGAAAUUGAUAUGUAUACUAUAUAAAGAGCUGAAAUUAGUAGCAAGAUGAACUACUCAACAGAAAAUAAGAACAUAACUUAAUAGAUGAGUCAAAAGAAGAAAACAAAUGGCUGAUGAACAUACCAGAAAUGCUCAAUUUACAUAUAAACCAAGAAAUACAAGAUUAGCACCUAUAUGUACCUCUUUUUCAAGAUUCCAUUUUAUUUUCCUAAUUUCAUAGUUAUAUAUUCUUAUGUUUUCUAUCACCUUAUGAUUUUCACAGAUAAGAAAACUAGGGUACAAAGCAGUUCAAUUAGUUGGCCAAAGCCACACAGAUAAUAACCAUGGCAGAACUAGGACAGUUUGGCUCUAGGAUGUACCCUCUAAAUUUCUACACCAUGCUACCUCUAAAUGAAUUAAAGCUGUUUUCAAAUGUGAUCUGAAAGUGGUCAAGACCCUUUCAGAAAAUCUAUGAUGUCAAAACUUUUCCUAACAAUUAAACAUUAUUUGGCUUUUUCACUCACUUUUUCAUGAGUGUACAGUGAAGUUUUCUUGAGGCUAUGUGAUGUUGCAAAAGACUGAAAGCAAAAACAGAUAUGAGAAUACAGCUGAGUACCAACAAGCCAGUUAUUAGAUUUACAAGAAUAUAAACAGCCACUCAUUUUGAAAAAUGUUUUUUCAUAAAAGUAUUUAUUUGUUAACAUAUACUUUAUUAUUAUUUGAAGUGAAUUAAUGAAUAUGUUUACAUUUUCUC